rnacentral:rRNA from 1 species
AUAAUGGGUCAGCGACUUAUAUUCUGUAGCAAGGUUAACCGAAUAGGGGAGCCGAAGGGAAACCGAGUCUUAACUGGGCGUUAAGUUGCAGGGUAUAGACCCGAAACCCGGUGAUCUAGCCAUGGGCAGGUUGAAGGUUGGGUAACACUAACUGGAGGACCGAACCGACUAAUGUUGAAAAAUUAGCGGAUGACUUGUGGCUGGGGGUGAAAGGCCAAUCAAACCGGGAGAUAGCUGGUUCUCCCCGAAAGCUAUUUAGGUAGCGCCUCGUGAAUUCAUCUCCGGGGGUAGAGCACUGUUUCGGCAAGGGGGUCAUCCCGACUUACCAACCCGAUGCAAACUGCGAAUACCGGAGAAUGUUAUCACGGGAGACACACGGCGGGUGCUAACGUCCGUCGUGAAGAGGGAAACAACCCAGACCGCCAGCUAAGGUCCCAAAGUCAUGGUUAAGUGGGAAACGAUGUGGGAAGGCCCAGACAGCCAGGAUGUUGGCUUAGAAGCAGCCAUCAUUUAAAGAAAGCGUAAUAGCUCACUGGUCGAGUCGGCCUGCGCGGAAGAUGUAACGGGGCUAAACCAUGCACCGAAGCUGCGGCAGCGACGCUUAUGCGUUGUUGGGUAGGGGAGCGUUCUGUAAGCCUGUGAAGGUGUACUGUGAGGUAUGCUGGAGGUAUCAGAAGUGCGAAUGCUGACAUAAGUAACGAUAAAGCGGGUGAAAAGCCCGCUCGCCGGAAGACCAAGGGUUCCUGUC